GUUUCACGUUACACAGGCCAUUAUUUUCUAACAGACUACCGAUUGCUGUUCCUUGAGAAUCGCUGGGUUUGCUACCUUUCCUUCCGACUGAACAGUCAGUCAGCCCUGUUUGCAGCUGAAUGCUGGAUUAACAGAUCCGUGCCUACGCAGCUACCACCUCGGCGUAGAAGCGCCAGCUUCGCCGAGCUCCGCCGAGCUCGGCCCAACGGUUCUCCCCAACGAAAAUAAAAUACUGAAGACAGAAGCGAGUCGCCCACGUCUUCUCAGUAAGAUUUCUAGCAGAGGUUCCAGGGAUACGCACGGCUGGGGAACAACACAGGGCUUUCUGAGACUUCAGAGGAGUGACCCAUACCAUCGUGCUCGCUCGCCCUGCGGGGGAGGAGAGGAGUCGCCCGUAAAGGAAUCGUGGGCCGUCGUGAAUUUACAGGCUUAACCUCAGAGGUGGAUCGAUGAAGGGUGACCGCCCCUACUUCAGAGGGAGAAAAAUCAACGUUUAAUUGCGCCCGACCUUCAUCUCAUUUUGCUCUGAUGUUCCUCUGAAUCCCUCCAGGUGUGUGCAGUGCGGAACCUGCCAUACCCAGUUAGGGGGGUCCCAGUGUGGUGCGUGAGAGGGGGGAUUUUGGGGCUCUGCCGUGCCUCCCCCGUUGGAUGAAUAAUUGGCUUCUCAGGAUUCAGCCCACACGAAGGUGACAGGAGGGGGGCGAUAAACAACAGGAGAGGCAGGGGCUUGGUGCUCUCCAGGUGACCCUCUAUAGGCACCAGGGGUGGGCCGGAUUAGAUGGGUUUCUGUGAGCGGGUUUACGGAUAGACCAUGUGACCAUUCCCAAUGGAAAUCUCUCCUCUGUUCGCAGAAGGAAUGUAGCAAUGUAACAAGGGAGGGAGAGAGAGAAGGAGAUUGAUACAGAGUAAUAGAAAGAAAGAGAUAGUCAGAGAGCUUGAAACAGGGAAGAAGAGACAGAUUGAUACAGGAUAAAUCUUCAGUUACUAUUCACAUUUAUACUGAGCGACGCCAUCUUGGCCAUUUUCUGCAAGGCCUUUUCUUGGGUUCUUCCCAUUGAAAUCUGUGUGCAGUUUCUAUGGUAACCGGGUGCCUCCACACACUGGCGUGACAAGGAUGGAGCAUCUGAAAAACCCCUUGAUGUCAGAGUUCCAAGCCCUCAGACACAGACCAGUUCGAGGGGCUUCUGAACCAAAGCACGUCUGUCAGGCUCUUAGGCCCCAGAGCUGCUGCCUAGCACACGACUUCUGGGGCCCCACAAAGGCUUUCCGCCAUAUUGCCCUGAAACACCCUGCCAGCUCCAGUGAUAGAAAUAUAUUUGCACAAUAAAAGGAAAAACAAAUACAACUUUCCU